UACGUAGGGACCAAGCGUUGUUCGGAUUUACUGGGCGUAAAGGGCGCGUAGGCGGCGUGACAAGUCACUUGUGAAAUCUCUGAGCUUAACUCAGAACGGCCAAGUGAAACUGUUGUGCUAGAGUGCAGAAGGGGCAAUCGGAAUUCUUGGUGUAGCGGUGAAAUGCGUAGAUAUCAAGAGGAACACCUGAGGUGAAGACGGGUUGCUGGGCUGACACUGACGCUGGAGGCGCGAAAGCUAGGGGAGCGAACGGG
rnacentral:rRNA from 1 species